GCCAGAGGCCUCUUAAAGAAUCUUCUCAUAACUGGCAUAGUGUCAACUCUGACAUGUUCUAUUAGUCAAGUCAGUUGCAAGUCCUGCCCAGAUUCAAGGAGUACAGAUAUAGACCCCAUCUCUUUAUAGGGGUUUGGCAAGUCACAGUGCAGAAAAGCUUAUUGAAUGGGAGCUAUUGUGGCAGGCAUUUGGGGAAAUGCAAACUACCCCAUAUUGCAUUGUGGAUCAAGUUUUACACAGAUUUAAAAAUGGUUUGUCGGAGAACAGAGAACCUAUCUUAGAACAAUAAAGUUCAGUAGUUUUCCUGGAAGAAAAAUGGGUUGAAUCCUAAUGAAGGUACCAGAGGCGAAUAUGUUCUAGGCUGAGAUGGCACUAAGUAGCCUUGAAAACCAACAAACUCACAACUACAAUAUCUAUGAAAACAAGCAGCCUGGGAUCACUGGAGCCGGCAGGGUGGGUUUGGUUAUCCCCAAAAGUCCUAUUGUGUCCGGAAUUGGUGGGUUCUUGGUCUCACUGACUUCAAGAAUGAAGCCACGUCACGGAGCCUACCUAACGAUUCGUAAGAGAAGUCCAGGCAUGGGCCUCACUUUCACAUCUGCACAGCGGUUCUGGACACUGAUGGACCUCAUGAACAAAGGGCUCUCAGCGGAAGAACACGAUAUGUCAGAGUUGACAGCCAUUGAGAAAGCACAUACCUGUGAUUUGUGACUCAGAGGCUUUAGGGGUAGGCUGUUUUCUGAGUGUUGCUUUGUUUUUGUGGUUCGUAUUUUUUUUUUCUUAUUAUCUCCCUGUAGACUAAAUCAUAUUCAUGAUAUUUGCAAUGGCUUUUUGGUCUGUGACUGCUUAACUCAGAUAAUUAAACCAAGUGGAGAGUUCUAAUGGGAUCCAUUUCAUGGAGUCAGGUCUUUGUGAAGUGGACUUUGAUGCAUUAUACUAUUCCCUGGUCCUUGUCCCCUAAAUGCUAUUAUAUAGUAAAGAAGGUGACUGGUCUAGGUGAAAACAAAAUUAAAAAUCAAAAGA
rnacentral:lncRNA from 10 species